GCCGGCUCGGGCGCGCACACCCGCCCGCGGCCACCCCGCCUCGCGCUCCGCCUCCUCCCGCGCUCCGCGCGCCCGCGGACUGGAGCGGCGGCGGCUGCCGCCGCCGCCUUCUCCUCCUCUUCCUGGGCGCCCGCAGCUCUCGAGAGAACUGUGCCAAGUUCCUCCUUGGAGAGGCAGCCAGAUGGACACCCAGAACUUUCCGUAUCUUCGUGUCGAGGAUGAAAAUCUGGUUAAAACAAAUGUAGACGUUGACAAGCACAAUCUACAAAAAGGAGAGAAAAGGAAAAGAAAUAACCUAUUGGUGGUCCUCAAAGGGAUGGAGUAACAUCAAGAAGGGCUUCCCAGAUGGCUCAGUGGUAAAGAAUCUACUUGCUAAUGCACGAAAUGCAGGUUUGAUACCUGGGUCAGGAAGAUCCCCAGAGAAGGAAAAUGGCAACCCAGUCCAGUAUUCUUGCCUUGGAAAUCUCACGGACAGAGGAACCUGCCGAGCUACAGUCCCGAGGGUCGCAAAAGAAUGGCACACGACUUAGUGACUAAACAACAACAACAACAAUAUCAGGAAAAGGCAGCAAUUGUCGCUUAAUGAUAAUUAUGGGUGACAACAGUUGGACUGCCUCUGCUGCUAAGGGAAGGCGAUUAAAGAGAAAAAAAGCAUCAUCAACACUUUAUGGAAAACUUUUUAAAAGUGAUUAUUCAUAUUGUAUGUAAAAAAUCUAGGAAAAAAAGUGUUUUCAUUAGUAAUUCACUAUUAAUUAAAAUGCAUGUCAUUCGAAGUAGUGUCAAUUGAUGGUGUAUUAGAAAACUCUUUGCUAUCUGGUGCAUUGUGCCUGUUUAUAUCUCCUUAGUGGAAUUUUAAUAAAUCAUCAUAAGGGUGACUUUAAUGGCUUAUUUGAAGAAAACAAAGAAUAUCUCUUUCAGAAAGUCAGAAGGAAAAUUGGAUGGUGGGUGUCUAAAUCAAACAUUAAAGCUAGUAUUAGAG
ensembl:lncRNA